rnacentral:rRNA from 1 species
GUGAACGCUGGCGGUAGGCCUAACACAUGCAAGUCGAACGGCAGCACAGUAAGAGCUUGCUCUUACGGGUGGCGAGUGGCGGACGGGUGAGGAAUACAUCGGAAUCUACUUUUUCGUGGGGGAUAACGUAGGGAAACUUACGCUAAUACCGCAUACGACUACGGGUGAAAGCAGGGGAUCUUCGGACCUUGCGCGAUUGAAUUAGCCGAUGUCGGAUUAGCUAGUUGGCGGGGUAAAGGCCCACCAAGGCGACGAUCCGUAGCUGGUCUGAGAGGAUGAUCAGCCACACUGGAACUGAGACACGGUCCAGACUCCUACGGGAGGCAGCAGUGGGGAAUAUUGGACAAUGGGCGCAAGCCUGAUCCAGCCAUACCGCGUGGGUGAAGAAGGCCUUCGGGUUGUAAAGCCCUUUUGUUGGGAAAGAAAAGCAGCAGGUUAAUACCCCGCUGUUCUGACGGUACCCAAAGAAUAAGCACCGGCUAACUUCGUG